AGUGAACGCUGGCGGCAGGCCUAACACAUGCAAGUCGAACGGCAGCACAGUGGAGCUUGCUCCAUGGGUGGCGAGUGGCGGACGGGUGAGGAAUACACCGGAAUCUGCCCAGUCGUGGGGGAUAACAUAGGGAAACUUAUGCUAAUACCGCAUACGACCUACGGGUGAAAGCGGGGGAUCGCAAGACCUCGCGCGAUUGGAUGAGCCGAUGUCCGAUUAGCUAGUUGGGGGGGUAAUGGCCCACUAAGGCGACGAUCGGUAGCUGGUCUGUGAGGAUGGUCAGGCACCCUUGAACGGAGAGACGGUCCAGACUCCUACGGGAGGCAGCGGUGGGGAAUAUUGGACAAUGGGGGCAAGCCUGAUCCAGCCAUGCCGCGUGGGUGAAGAAGGCCUUCGGGUUGUAAAGCCCUUUUGUCCGGAAAGAAACGCCUCGGAUUAAUACUCUGGGGUAAUGACGGUACCGGAAGAAUAAGCACCGGCUAACUUCGUGCCAGCCGCCGCCGUAA
rnacentral:rRNA from 1 species